ACUAGAUGUCGCUGUGAAAUGUGAACAGGCAACCAGAUGUGUUUUGAUUUUGCUAGCUGGUUGCGGUCCUGUGUAAUUUCAAACCCAAUAAUAAAAUACAGUAUCAUUCAUUGUGGUGAAUAGCUGGACCAGACAUAAAGACCAGAGAUGUCUGACGAGGAUGAAUCUCCGCUGGUGAAGAAGACCAGGAUUUUCUAUGGCAGUCUGGAGGAGAAGGAGAGGGAGAGGCUGGGACGAGAGUCCUCUGGGUCAUGCAAAAAUUCUGUCAAAGCAGGCAUUGAGGCUAUCAACAUCAACUGUUUAUGGUUGGAGUCAUAUGUAUGUGUGUCGAUUAACUCAACUUACUUUUUCUCUCUCUUCCCUCAGGUCCCUUGAUCUUGAGGAAAACGUGAGUGCCAGUCUGAGGUAUUGGCUGACUUUGAGCGCAGAAAGCGAGCGAGAUAGUCACAGUAUCCAAUGAAGAUGCAGAUGUAACCGAUGUGAAAUAUCCUUCUGCCAAUUUAGCCCGAACUCCAAAAUGCUUGUGACUGCCUCUUGGUGAGUCCCUCAGUCUCCUCUCAUUGCACUGCACAGACAGGAAUGGUCUUGAUGGUGUUUUAUAUCCAUUUAGCCAUCAAAUAAGCAUUUGUAAGAAGAAUUGUCCUUGUCGUCCUGACUUGUUUUUUGUUCUCUCUAGGAGUGGCCUGUGUAAACUGUGCAAUGUUCGACUGCACCCUUAUCCGUACUCUUCGGGCUUAGAAGAAUAUCUUAUUUUUCACAAUCAUUUGAUUGAUUUGAUUGCAAGAAUGUUAGCUAUAUGAAGUAGCUAAGAGAACAUUCAAUUGUUGUUUUGUUUUUAACCUUUAUUUAACUAGGCAAGUCAGUUAAGAACAAAUUCUUAUUUUCAAUGACAGUGGGUUAACUGCCUUGUUCAGGGGCAGAAAAACAGAUUUUUACCUUGUCAGCUCAGGAAUUCGAUCUUGCAACUUUUCGGUUACAAGUCCAACGCUCUAACCACCUGCCGCCCCAGGUAGCCAAAGAUUAUAGGGUCCCCUAAGAAACACUUAUCAACACUUAAGGUCCUUGUCCCUACCCUUACCCUGUCUUUAACUCCUCCCUGGCAUUUUCAUUUGUUCUCAUGUCAAACAACACUGUGUUUAAAGUGCCCACUAUUAUAUUCUAACUAUAGAAUUAGAAUAAUCAUUCUAUUUCCAUGAUUCCAACAGUUCACCUAUGUGUUUUGCUCUAAAUCGCUAGUACAAUCGCAACGUUUGGCUAAAAAUAAGGCCUACAUUGUUUGCCCAUAUUGUGCAGCCCUACAUGGCAGUGUGGAAGUGAUCUCAAAUAAGUGCAACAAAUGCAGAAGUUUAUGAAAAUGCAGAUUUCUUUGAAUUGAACAGUAUUUAUAUAAUCAAAAUGGAGAAAGACCAAUUGAAAUCACUUAGAAUGUAUGUGUUGCCACCGUAGGGUCACGCACUACUCAUGAAGAAAAUGUUGAACUUUCAUUAUUCAAAAACAUAAAAUACUGUUAUACUGUCCUUUUUAUUUUUAUGCAGUGAUAUGCUAUUUUGGCCAUAUCGCCCAGCCCUAUCCUGAAUGCUAAAUAAGUUAAUCAUUUGAUAAUGAUAAUAGUUAUUUUCUUUUCCUGUCCUCGGGCCACAACACCUACGUGGGGGCCAACUGUUUCCAUCCUCAGGCCACUCUGACUCUGGAGGACUGAUGUUAACAUGGCCUCCUGUGCUGCCAACGGCACCGUCAAACUCUGGAGUCUGUACAGUGAUGAGCCUGUAGCUGACAUCUAGGGCCACUCCUGAGUGUAGCACGAGUAGCCUGGCACCCCUGUCGACGCUUCCUGGGCACCACCUGACUUGUCAUUCGAAAUUAAUCUGAAGUGGGGCUUAAUCCUCACUCACUCACUCCUGGAGGCCCAGGACGAGGUCCUGCACCAGGAGGGACACAGUAAAGAAGUCCACGACCUGCACUUCCAGCCUGACGGCUCUGUGGUAGGCACUUGGGGUCUGGAUUCGUUCGGGUGUAUUUGGGACCUUCGGACCGGGCGAUGUGUGCUGUUCCUGGAGGGCCAUCUCAAUGAGACAGCAUUGACUUCUCUCCCAACGGCUACCACGCAGCAACAAGAAGUGGGGAUAACUGUAUACUUCUGGCCCUUCUUUGGAAACUGUUAACUAACCUCCAGACGGGCUUCAAUGCCAUACAACUCACCUUCCGUGGCCUCCAACUGCUCUUAAAU